AAUGCCUAAUUUGUCUCUGCUGUCAAGUGCUUAAUUUUACAUAGUUCUUACCGAAAUACUAAAGCAGAGUUUGUAUUAAUAUGGAUCCACCAGAGUUGAGCCAGCUCAAACUAGAAUACGUAAAAGCCAUACGAAAGAAAAUUAGAGCCUUCGAAACAUUCAAGUUCUUGCAACAGUGUAAGAUCAAUGACGUAUAUCCAAUGUCUAUUUAUAACAUUAAGUUACCGAUCACCUCCAAGAGAAUUUUAAAUAAUACUAAAAGGAUUUGUAUGAAGGCAGCCCUCUCUGAUGCAAAAAGGAGAUUCUAUAGAUGCCUCGACUAUGAAAUAAGCGUAUAAGAAAAACUGCAACAACUACGGGUACAAGACCAAGCGCUGAAAGAAUUAGACAAUAAACAAGAAGGCCUUCGGAAGCAUUUACAAAAUAAACACAUUAAAAAGAUUAAAUGGAUCCUUUAUAAACAAGGAGCUAGCAAGCGUAGAACAUCCUUGCCAUUAGAAAGUGUCCUCACUAUGUUAAGCGGAAUCGCCUUACCGCCAUAUGCAGUUGAACUUUUUCGAAAAGGUCCAAUGUGUGCCAUCAAACAGAAACCAAAUAUAAGGGCCCAAAUCCACUCCAUUGAAGAUUUGUUGAAUAACCCUCAAUUCCAACCCCUUGAGAAAGAAAGAAUGCGAUGGGAAACCCUCUAGCGUGACAUCAUGAUAAAGUUCUGACGUCAGAGGCACGGCCUGUGCUUAAGAUGGCUGUGACCACGCUCAA
rnacentral:lncRNA from 1 species